GAUGAAAGAACGCAGCGAAAUGCGAUACUUGGUGUGAAUUGCAGAAUCCCGUGAACCAUCGAGUCUUUGAACGCAAGUUGCGCCCGAAGCCACUAGGCCGAGGGCACGCCUGCCUGGGCGUCACACGCCGUUGCCCCCCCAUCUACUCCUUCGGGAUUGCGGGGGGGCGGAUGAUGGCCUCCUGUGCGCCUAGCCGCGCGGUUGGCAUAAAUACCAAGUCCUCGGCGACGCACGCCACGACAAUCGGUGGUUGCGAAACCUCGGUUGCCCGUCGUGUGCGUUCGUCGCGCAUCGAGGGCUCGAAAAAAUGCUCGGCUCCGGCUGGGCUUUCAACGCGACCCCAGGUCAGGCGGGGUUACCCGCUGAAUUUAAGCAUAUCAAUAAGCGGAGGA
rnacentral:misc_RNA from 1 species